rnacentral:misc_RNA from 1 species
AACGCACAUUGCGCCCUUUGGUAUUCCGAGGGGCAUGCCUGUUCGAGCGUCAUUACAAAACCUCAAGCUCUGCUUGGUCUUGGGAUUACAUCAUCUCGUUAUUUUUUGCGAGCAGAUGGUCCUUAAACCCAUCGGCAGUAUUACUAGAUCUCAAGCGUAAUAAAAUAUUCCCGUUUAGAGCUUUUAGUAGUACUCGUCUAGAAAUCAUUUAUUUCCAAAAGGUUGACCUCGGAUCAGGUAGGGAUACCCGCUGAACUUAA